GACGAACGCUGGCGGCGUGCUUAACACAUGCCAGUCGAACGAACAGGCCCUGCUUUUGUGGGGUGCUCGAGUGGCGAACGGGUGAGUAACACGUGAGUAUCAUGCCCUUGACUUUGGGAUAACUUCUGGGAACUGGGGCUAAUACCGGAUAUGAGCUCCUGCUGCAUGGUGGUGGUUGGAAAGAUUCGGCGGUUGGGGAUGGACUCGCGGCUUAUCAGCUGGUUGGUGGGGUAGUGGAUUACCAAGGCUUUGACGGGUAGCCGGCCUGAGAGGGUGACCGGCCACAUUGGGACUGAGAUACGGCCCAGACGCCUACGGGAGGCAGCAGUGGGGAAUAUUGCACAAUGAGCGGAAGCCUGAUGCAGCAACGCCGCGUGCGUGAUGACGGCCUUCGGGUUGUAAACCGCUUUCGCCUGUGACGAAGCGUGAGUGACGGUAAUGGGUAAAGAAGCACCGGCUAACUACGUG
rnacentral:rRNA from 1 species